AGAGCAACGAGCUGCGUUUGUGGAUGAGGUUAAGUGUGUUGGUUGCUUGAAGUGUGCUUUAUGUGCAGAGAAAACAUUUGCUAUUGAAACUGCUUAUGGGAGAGCAAGGGUUGUUGCUCAAUGGGCUGAUCCUGAAUCCAAAAUCAAAGAAGCCAUUGAAGCUUGUCCAGUAGACUGCAUUGCGUAAGCACAUCACUAGUAGCUCUAGUAAUUGUUGGCUUUUCAAUUCGAUCAGUUACCAUAAAGUAUGAUUCUUUUUGCAGAAUGGUGGAGAGAUCUGACCUUGCUCCAUUGGAGUUUCUUAUGUCAAAGCAACCACGAGGCAACGUGAGGAUUGGGGUUGGAAACACAGUUGGGGAACGUGUCUCUAACGUAUUUGUUGAUGUCAAGAAGUUCCAGGAAAGAUACGCCAAAACUAUGAGCAGAAACACUAAAGAGAGUUCCCAGGUGAGUUUAUGCAUAGUCCUAAUUAAACAACAAUAAAGCCAAGUUAUAAUCAUACCUGUCAGAUACCAAGUAGUUGUGUUGGGAUGUUUUGCAGACAGAAGUAAGAAUAAGUGCAGUAGAGGCAAUCAGGUCUAUCUCCAAUUGGC
rnacentral:lncRNA from 1 species